AGCGUAGGCGGCGUGGUAAGUCAGAUGUGAAAUCCCGGGGCUCAACCCCGGAACUGCAUCCGAUACUGACGUGCUAGAGGAUUGGAGAGGUAGCUGGAAUUCACGGUGUAGCAGUGAAAUGCGUAGAUAUCGUGAGGAACACUCGUGGCGAAAGCGAGCUACUGGACAACUCCUGACGCUGAGGCUCGAAGGCCAGGGUAGCGAAAG
rnacentral:rRNA from 1 species